rnacentral:rRNA from 1 species
GACGUAGGGGGCAAGCGUUGUCCGGAAUCAUUGGGCGUAAAGCGCUCGUAGGUGGAUCGGUAAGUCUGCAAAGAAAGACCCGGGCUCAACUCGGGGAACGGUGUGGAUACUACCGAUCUUGAGGCAAUCAGAGGAUGAUGGAAUUCCCGGUGUAGCGGUGAAAUGCGCAGAUAUCGGGAGGAACACCGGUGGCGAAGGCGGUUCUCUGGGCCUUACCUGACGCUGAGGAGCGAAAGCGUGGGGAUCAAACAGG